GAGUUUUCUAGACAAGUUUAAGCCAUUUCAUACCUGGCCAGACUAAUGUAGGUGGGUAGCAAUUUUACACUCCAAAACUUAUGCCAAUUUCUUCAUGUCUGCAAGACCUUACAUACUAAGUAAAAUUAGCAAAACUCUACUUCCCUUCUGUCUCUGAUUUUUCAUGUUUCAGAGAGAUUAUGUACUUACAGUGCUAGGGAAGGUGUAUAAGGAAGGGUUACAUCUAUAGAGUGAUGCUUAUCUAUCAUUGUAUAUAGAUCCUUGACCAAAACAUCUGAUGUCAUCUUUUCUUUAUAUCUUUAGCAAAUGAAGUAGAAUGAAGGAAAUUGCAUUAAUGAAAACCAGCACAUGUUUAAAACGUCAUUCAAACACUAUGGCCCUUGGUGUUCCAUGGCUGUGGACAAGAGUCCUCCCCUAACGAUGAGUGGGCAGCACCAGCUCAGGCUUAGAACCAUUCAUACCCGGACUGAAGAGUGUCAACGUCAGGAAGGCAGUACAGGUUUCAGUAUCUCAAAGAAAUGUGUGAGAAUGUUGCUGGAAAAAGAAAACAGCUUUACUAAAGAAGUUGGUUGCUGA
rnacentral:lncRNA from 1 species